rnacentral:rRNA from 1 species
GACGAACGCUGGCGGCGUGCUUAACACAUGCAAGUCGAACGGUGAAGGGACUGGUUUUGCUGGUCCUGGAUGAGUGGCGAACGGGUGAGUAACACGUGAGUAACCUGCCCCCUUCUUCUGGAUAACCGCAUGAAAGUGUGGCUAAUACGGGAUAUUCUGGGUCUGUCGCAUGGUGGGCCUGGGAAAGAUUGCGCCUUUUUUGGUGUUUUUGGUGGGGGAUGGGCUCGCGGCCUAUCAGCUUGUUGGUGGGGUGAUGGCCUACCAAGGCGGUGACGGGUAGCCGGCCUGAGAGGGUGGACGGUCACACUGGGACUGAGACACGGCCCAGACUCCUACGGGAGGCAGCAGCGGGGAAUAUUGCACAAUGGGCGCAAGCGUGAUGCAGCGACGCCGCGUGAGGGAUGGAGGCCUUCGGGUUGUGAACCUCUUUCGCCAGUGAAGCAGGCCUGCCUCUUUUUGUGGGUGGGUUGACGGUAGCUGGAGAAGAAGCGCCGGCUAACUACGUG